UGGAUUGUUAAGUCAGUUGUGAAAGUUUGCGGCUCAACCGUAAAAUUGCAGUUGAUACUGGCAGUCUUGAGUACAGUAGAGGUGGGCGGAAUUCGUGGUGUAGCGGUGAAAUGCUUAGAUAUCACGAAGAACUCCGAUUGCGAAGGCAGCUCACUGGACUGCAACUGACACUGAUGCUCGAAAGUGUGGGUAUCAAACAGGAUUAGAUACCCUGGUAGUCCACACAGUAAACGAUGAAUACUCGCUGUUUGCGAUAUACGGUAAGCGGCCAAGCGAAAGCGUUAAGUAUUCCACCUGGGGAGUACGCCGGCAACGGUGAAACUCAAAGGAAUUGACGGGGGCCCGCACAAGCGGAGGAACAUGUGGUUUAAUUCGAUGAUACGCGAGGAACCUUACCAGGGCUUAAAUGUAAGUUGCAUUAGUUAGAGAUAGCUAUUUCUUCGGACCACUUACAAGGUGCUGCAUGGUU
rnacentral:rRNA from 1 species